UUCUCCAUGGUAUAUCGCCUCCAAUACAGUUCUGUGACUGGCAUGCUGCUAAGCGAACAUUUGUGGGACAAUUACACAUCCUGUGUGCAAACUAUUUAGUCAUUCCAUCAGACUAUUGUUUGCCAAAUGAGGUAUUGAACCAUUCUCACCACGACAAAGUACUAAUGAAAAUUUUAAAAAUUACAUCGAAACCACCUAAUUUCAAAUCUAGAAGACACAUUUCACCAACAAAGAAAACUUUGAAAGCUGUCACUGUUAUGCCUCGACUGUUGCUGUCAGCAACUUAACCACUCAAGACUAAUGGAAUUUAAGGACAAACCUAAAGGCUGCUCUCGGGUUCACCAUCCAGGUACCAAAAACGCUGAAAUAUCAAGAAUGCCUUGA